CCAAUAGCGUAUAUUAAAGUUGUUGCAGUUAAAAAGCUCGUAGUUGAAUUUCGAGACCGGUCUACUGGUCGUGCUUUUGUACGUACUGGUAUAAUCGGUUUCUCUCUUCUGACAAACUAUAAUGCCAUUAAUUUGGUGUUUUAGGGAAUCAGGACUGUUACUUUGAAAAAAUUAGAGUGUUUAAAGCAGGCUCACGCUUGAAUACAUUAGCAUGGAAUAACGAAAUAGGACGUUUGAUUCUAUUUUGUUGGUUUCUAGGAUCGACGUAAUGAUUAAUAGGGAUAGUUGGGGGCAUUAGUAUUCAAUUGUCAGAGGUGAAAUUCUUGGAUUUAUUGAAGACUAACUACUGCGAAAGCAUUUGCCAAGGAUGUUUUCAUUAAUCAAGAACGAAAGUUAGGGGAUCGAAGACGAUCAGAUACCGUCGUAGUCUUAACCAUAAACUAUGCCGACUAGGGAUCGGAUGAUGUUAAAUUAAUGACUCAUUCGGCACCUUACG
rnacentral:rRNA from 1 species